UGGAUCCUGAAGAGAACAGCCUGAGGAACUACUAAGGAGGCUUCUCAUUUUUUGUGGAUUUUUCCCACCAUGACCAAUUGAAAUGCCAUGACCAAGGGAUUAUCAUGACUUCAGGUGGCCUCAGCGGGCCUUUUAAUGAAUAUUUUCCUCCAAAUAAACAACAGCAACACAAUCCAAAAGAAUCACAAUGCGCA